UACGUAGGCAGCGAGCGUUGUCCGGAUUUACUGGGCGUAAAGAGCGCGUAGGCGGUCUGUUAAGUGUGAAGUGAAAUCUCCAGAGCUCAACUCGGAAACUGCUUCGCAUACUGGCAGACUUGAGGAAUGCAGAGGUUUGUGGAAUUCCUGGUGUAGCGGUGAAAUGCGUUGAGAUCAGGAGGAACACCCAUGGCGAAGGCAGCAAACUGGGCAUUAUCUGACGCUGAGGCGCGAAAGCGUGGGUAGCAAACAGG
rnacentral:rRNA from 1 species